GUCCAGAGGCUCCUUGUCCCAGAAGCCCUUGCGGCACAAGGGCGAGAUGUUUGGGUUCCCGAGAGAUCCGUGGGGUCAGAGACGAUAAACCCAGUGGAUCGAGGAGUGGAAGAAAAGGCACCUGACCAGUGAUUAAACUGCAACCUUGCCAUACGCGAGCAAUGCUUCACUAACUGAACCACCAGUAGGGGCUCAGUUUCAGGCCAAGUGGGUAAACACACUGUGCUGUCUGUCCCACUGGAACACUUCAGUAAAUCAGCACUGUACAGAAGUGGGAGACUAAGUAUUGAUCACCAGCAGCUUGUACCCUUUUGGAGACGAGCAGGAGGACACUAGGUCACAGGGCCCAGUCAGCAGCCGUUUACCCAGGUUCAUAGAAUCAUAUCAAAUAACAACCUGUACAAAAUAGUUAAUAGUUUCCCAUAUAUCAAUAAAUGCUUUAUGUAUUGUUUUAUUGUUCACAGAGUACCAUUCUUAUAUUGUUUGCUAUUUAUUAUUGGUAAUAGGUCGCUAUCAACAUCAAUAAUGAGAUAUUAAGUACACCAUGACCUAGGCUGUGGGUGAGGCACAGACAAGAUAAUGCCCCUGCCUGACUGAAGGCACUUUAUUUUCACAGGAAUUCUGGUUGCGCGGGGCAGGGAAGGGGGGGGGGGGUGGUCAGGACAAUCUGUCAUGUGAGAGAGGAUUUUUCUCCUGUAACAAAUAGCCCUGCAGGGAGGGGACUAAAAGGGUGGGUUUCAGCAGAACAGCCACUUUCCCCAUCUCUGCUACUGAAGGUCUGGGCCCUGCCACCUGGUCUGACCAUUCCCAAGCCAAGAAUGCCAGGCUGGGAGGGGCAGAUGGCUUCAUACCUUGGGCAGGCUUGCUGGGUUCCUGGGUUCCUGGGGCUCCUGGCGGGUAUUUGGAUCCCCUCCCCCUAAGCGUUCACACUUAUUUUGGUAGGAUAACUUGUACAUGUACCUAUUGCACCUUAUGAUUGUUUAAAAUGACAUUGGUCUCCUUUAAUGUAAACUUCUAUUUAAAAAAAAAUUAACAGACCCUUAAGAGAAACUAUGCCUUCUGAUGCAAUUAUUAUUAAUUCAGAUGCCAAGAAAAAUGUUUCUUCCCCUCAUACAAAACUUGGCACCUUCUGCUGUUGCAGGGAACCUGGGGGCUGGGUGUGGGGUAAAUGAGGACAGGCACAGAUGUGACAACCUGACCUCUAGACAAGAUCCAGGCACUUGUCACAAAGUAACAAUGCCCCCAUGGACCCACUCCCACGCCUUCCUUUCUCUUUCCUCACCUCUGUUUUACUCUACAGGAGAUGAAGACCAGAGACACAGUGCCACUAGCCACCCUCCCAGAUACUGUACCUGUAGGGAGGCUUGCUUUGCACCAGGUCCUGCAGCUGCUGGGGAAGCAAAUGUUGAGAAUUCCGUGGCCUGUCCUCACCACCCAUAUUCCUAAGACAAGUCUGGUCAGGAUUUCUCUUGCAUCCCACCCGUGGGCUCCAAUAUCAAGUCUGGUGCUGGCCCAUGGGCUCAGGACCUACCAGUCAGUAAUCUGAACAUCCUAUGUGUUGGAUCUGUCCACCUUUUCUAUUUCUGUGUCAUCCUGAAGUAACAGGCACAUGGUGAGUAAC